CAUAAAUAGAAGUGCAACGUCACCUACAUUCUCUCUUUCUUCCUCGCCAUCUUCUGAGUGGCAGACGACCUACUUUUCUUUGGUGAGCUAUUCUCGCACGGUUUUGGAUCUUUUAACGCAAGGUUUGGUACACAGGUUUUGGAUCUUUUAACGCAAGGUUUGGUACACAGGAGACGGGCCGAAAAUGCAUCCUGCUCAUCCAAACGGAGUAGAUUUAAACCAAGUACUGAGUGUUUUAUUGUAUACAGAAUAUCCAUGUAACUCAACUUUAAUGUCCAUGCCUGUUGUAUUCAGCAGAUAGCAGCAUCAUUUAAUGAAAGGAGAGUAAAUCCUGUUGCACUUUUUUUUUUUUUUUUUCUUUACAUUUUCUAUCUGUUUUUGUAGGGGAAAAUACCUAUUUUUUAAAUUAUUAUUCCUUGGCGAGUUUUAAAUUGAAAAGUUGUCACUGAGAACAUACUUUUUUAUUUAUAUUUCAAGUUAUAAGUUGUGUUAAAGUAACGGGUACUACACACUUCUUACUGUUCUGUGCAAAUAUAUAAUAAACUUCUGAUUGUGCUGAAA